rnacentral:rRNA from 1 species
AACGAACGCUGGCGGCAUGCCUAACACAUGCAAGUCGAACGAGACCUUCGGGUCUAGUGGCGCACGGGUGCGUAACGCGUGGGAACCUGCCCUUAGGUUCGGAAUAACUCCCCGAAAGGGGUGCUAAUACCGGAUAAUGUCUUCGGACCAAAGAUUUAUCGCCUUUGGAUGGGCCCGCGUUGGAUUAGCUGGUUGGUAGGGUAAAAGCCUACCAAGGCGACGAUCCAUAGCUGGUCUGAGAGGAUGAUCAGCCACACUGGGACUGAGACCCGGCCCAGACUCCUACGGGAGGCAGCAGUAGGGAAUAUUAGACAAUGAGCGAAAGCCUGAUCCAGCAAUGCCGCGUGAGUGAUGAAGGCCUUAGGGUUGUAAAGCUCUUUUACCCGGGAUGAUAAUGACAGUACCGGGAGAAUAAGCUCCGGCUAACUCCGUG